CCCGGCCCCGCUAUAGAUACCUGGCUCUUCCGGCCGCCGAUCCGCCGGACAACG
rnacentral:ncRNA from 1 species